rnacentral:pre_miRNA from 1 species
AGCUUUUCGAAUCCGUGAGGAGAUUUCGUCAGAUACCAACCCAUUAAAGCUGAUCAGACUCCCAAGAUAAGUGAAGUU